CUGUUGACGUCGCUGUCGGCCGGCGCCGUGUCGCUGCACGCCAACGGAGGCCUGGCGCUGCCGCAGGACCUCUGUCCGCAGCACGUGGGCGCCCUGUUCGGCCUCAUGAACACCGGUGGAGCCCUGGCAGGCUUUCUCUCCAACCUGGCGGCCGGCUACCUGCUGGAGCUGCACGGCGACUUCGAGGCGGUGUUCCACAUGGUGGGCGGCCUGGCACUGGCCGGGGCUCUGGUGUUCGCCGUCUUCGGCUCGGCCGAGCGGCUCAAGCUCUGAUCAGUCUGCAGCCGUGAUCAGUCUGCAGCCGUGAUCAGUCUGCUGCCGUGAUCAGUCUGCAGCCGUGAUCAGUUUGCAGCCGUGGCCAGUCUGCAGCCGUGAUCAGUCUGCAGCCGUGAUCAGCUUGCAGCCGUGGCCAGUCUGCAGCCGUGAUCAGUCUGCAGCCGUGAUCAGUUUGCAGCCGUGGCCAGUCUGCAGCCGUGGUCAGUCCGCAGCCGUGAUCAGUCUGCAGGUGUGAUCAGUCUACAGCUGUGCUCAGUCUGCAGACGCGGCACUCCACCAGCGAUCCCCUCCCGUCGUGCACCGCUGUCAUUCCCCGCGUGGUCUCACGCUGCCGCGAUCCCGGCGGACGGGGCAUAUGACCACCUCAAAGCCUCGCGCGCGGGUUCCAAUGUAGGCUCCUUGCCGUGGAGAGUUUUCCGUCCGACAGAAGUGCUUCUGAGACGUGCCUCAGUGGUCUAUAUCUAGCUAUUGUUACACAACGGGUGUGUUCGACCUGGGCGGUUAUGUGCGUGGGUGUGGUAGGGGUGGGACGCUCUGUGGUGAUGUGGGUGGCAUGGGUUUGGGACGUUCUGUGAUGCUGUGAGUGGCAUGGGUUUGGGACGUUCUGUGAUGAUGUGAGUGGCAUGGGUUUGGGACGUUCUGUGAUGCUGUGAGUGGCAUGGGUUUGGGACGUUCUGUGAUGCUGUGAGUGACAUGGGCUUGGGACGUUUCACGAUGUGCGAGAUUCGUGUUCAGAGCGCGUGAUUUCACAGUCUUGUUUCGAGCGUGACGCAUUGGGAUGUGACGCUUGCGACGAUGACUGCGGCUUUGGCCGGGUUCCCCCGGGGACCAGGACCGGGAGUUCUGCCGAGGACCAGGAGUCGCGCCCGAAGCUCUCCGCGGACCGCUGUCUCCUGGGCUCCGCGGGUCUCCGAUCACCGUUGCUGACGUCACGGACACCAGCUGGCGCCAAGCCGUGUCAUCCUGAAAUGUUCUAGUCAGCCCCCGGGUCAGACUGCGCACAGGCCAUUGGCCGCAAGGCGCCGCGCUCGGCUGUGUCAGUGGUGGUGGAACCGUCGCGUUCAAGACGCGCCCAUAGAUGUGAACAGUGUGUGUCUUGCCGCAAUUGUGCGACGCUUCGGGUGCUUUUUCUAUUGGAACGAACAAGGUUAGGGUAGAAUACAAGCAUCUUAUUGUGUCGAUG